rnacentral:rRNA from 1 species
AGUGAACGUUGGCGGCGUGGAUUAGGCAUGCAAGUCGAGCGAGAACCGUAGCAAUACGGGGACAGCGGCGAAAGGGACAGUAAUGUGUAGGUACCUACCCCGAGGUCUGGGAUAGCUGCGGGAAACUGCAGGUAAUACCGGAUAAUGUCUUCGGACCAAAGGUGUGAUUCCACCUUGGGAGGGGCCUGCAUCCUAUUAGCUUGUUGGCGGGGUAACGGCCCACCAAGGCGACGAUGGGUAGCGGGUGUGAGAGCACGACCCGCGUCAUUGGGACUGAGACACUGCCCAGACACCUACGGGUGGCUGCAGUCGAGGAUCUUCGGCAAUGGGCGCAAGCCUGACCGAGCGACGCCGCGUGCGGGAUGAAGGCCUUCGGGUUGUAAACCGCUGUCGUAGGGGAGGAAAUGCAGGUGGGUUCUCCCUCCUGUUUGACCUAUCCUAGGAGGAAGUACGGGCUAAGUUCGUGCCAGCAGCCGCAGUAAAAC